GGGUGGUUAUGGGAAAGGUUCCUCUCACUGUUACCCCUGGUGAUCCACUAAACUUUUGCUUCCUGUCCCUGUGACAGUCUCUGCCUGUCUAGAAGUCUUAGCUUUAAAUGGAGGAGUGAUGAUUCUGUUGCACUGGAGUGCUCCUGGACUCAUGCCAUGAAAUCAACAGGCAAAGAAGGGAGGAUUGCCUCUCAGUAUUCCCAUACCCUAUGAUUAAGUUACAUCAACUCAAUUAACAGGACUGCUAAUGGCCCAGACCCUUCAGAAAUGAAGAUUUUGUUCCCUUCACCUGGCAAGGAUUCCCAGCUAGUUGAAAUGUUUGCUGAAGACAAAGGGAAUAUGGAAUGGGAAGUGGAAAGGAGUAGUUAUAAAUACCAGCUAUGACCACACGACCAGUUGCAGAUAGUACUUCUCACCUCCCGCCUGAGGCAGCAGCUGGGCCAGUAACUGCCCUGCCUCCCCCAUCCUUCUCCAGCUCCUCCAACUCCUGGGCCAAGUUUGUGUGUUCAGCUGUAUGAUGAAGGGACAUCCUGCAGUCAAGGUCAGAGGCAUUACAAACUGAUGCGAGUUUCCAUCUGUCCUUGUGAGUUUCAGCUUGUGCCUAUGGGCUCCAGCUUGUUCUAAAAUAGGCUCUUUUCCACAUUUUACAUUCACCUCCCUUUCCUGACAGCCUUUUCUUGGACUUUAAUCUCCAGCAUCAGACGUGAAGACAGUAACCUUACAGACAUGAUUUAACCACACUCCACAAUUACAGAAGCCUCUCAACAGGUCUAGGUGAAGUUUGCUCCUCUCUCUGAUUUCCCCGAAGCCAGUAAGCUGGGUCACGUGGCUGGCUGACCUCCCAGCACCGCCUACCUCCACUCCAUGAGAUGCCAUCAAGAUCCCACCCAAAGGAGCCAGUUGUCCCCGAGAAACAAUGAGCAAUUCUUACAAGACACAGUGGAGCUCUGUUACUGUGGCACAGGAAGGCUCGAUAAGAUCUCCCAGUCGCAGCAUUCUUUUGUGUCAGCAGACGCAAGUGGGAUGUUCCUUCUGCAGCUCUUGCGGGGCAAGAGGAAGCGGGCUUUGAAACACAAUGUUCAUUGAAAUCGGCUUUCAUCUAAGGAAUCCCGUGGUGGCUCCUGCUUCAUGAUGUGCAUUCUGUCUACAGCAGAGCUUGCCUGAUGCAUUUCCGUUGUUUGUUCUGAGGGGAAGGUAGUACCUUUAUGAGACACACUUUUAUAGGUAAAGGGCAUCAUAUUGUGCAAGGCAAAGUGUUCUGUGUCAGGAUGUCUCCAGUGAGUCUGGAGCUGAGAAGGAACAUUAAAAAUAAAAUGGAAAAAAAAAAAA